UACGGGGGGGGCAAGCGUUGUUCGGAAUUACUGGGCGUAAAGGGCUCGUAGGCGGCCAACUAAGUCAUACGUGAAAUCCCCCGGCUUAACCGGGGAACUGCGUCUGAUACUGGAUGGCUUGAGUUCGGGAGAGGGAUGCGGAAUUCCAGGUGUAGCGGUGAAAUGCGUAGAUAUCUGGAGGAACACCGGUGGCGAAGGCGGCAUCCUGGACCGAUACUGACGCUGGAGGAGCGAAAGCCAGGGGAGCAAACGGG
rnacentral:rRNA from 1 species